rnacentral:pre_miRNA from 1 species
GUGACAGGUAUUAGGUUUCGUUGUUUGUAUUUAUCAAUUUCUAACACAUACAAACAGCUAAACUUAUAACCUAUCUC